rnacentral:rRNA from 1 species
ACGCUCGACACCUACGGAAGGCAGCAGUGGGGAAUAUUGCACAAUGGGGGAAACCCUGAUGCAGCGACGCCGCGUGAGCGAAGAAGUAUUUCGGUAUGUAAAGCUCUAUCAGCAGGGAAGAAAAUGACGGUACCUGACUAAGAAGCCCCGGCUAACUACGUGUCAGCAGCCGCGGUAAUCUGAGCGGGCUGGCAAGGC